UUCAUCCUUUCACUUCUACACGGGGCGGCAGAAUUGAUAUAGACCCAUGUGUGUCUUUUUCCCCCCUUGCUUUUCCCCAUACACGUCUACAAUCCACAUUAUUAAAUAAAUAUCUUGAGAGUGAAUUCAAGUUUUCAUGGUCUCCUUCAUACGUAUCCUGACCGAUGCCCAUCACGAUAGUUUAACUCCUGCAACCCUCCUAUUAUAUACUGUGCUUGAAAGCUCAGUUAUUAGUGAUGCGUCCUCAGUGAUGCUGGAAGUGUUUGUUUUCCACAAAAUACCAAUUAACCCGGUCCUCAGCUCGCCUCCUCCAUGUUGGUCCAUGGGAUUAAACACUAGAUGACUUGGCACCGUUCCUGUUGUCAGAACCUACAGCAUGACAUUUCAAAUCAGCCCCAGUGAUAUUUAGUUGGUUUUGAUCCUCCUGACUGGAAUUUAAUAAAACGGAUUACAGCAAAGAAGCACAGAAA